rnacentral:misc_RNA from 1 species
GAUGAAGAACGUAGUGAAAUGCGAUACGUAAUGUGAAUUGCAAAUUCAGUGAAUCAUCGAGUCUUUGAACGCACAUUGCGCCCCCUGGUAUUCCGGGGGGCAUGCCUGUCCGAGCGUCAUUGCUGCCCUCAAGCACGGCUUGUGUGUUGGGCCCCGUCCUCCGAUCCCGGGGGACGGGCCCGAAAGGCAGCGGCGGCACCGCGUCCGGUCCUCGAGCGUAUGGGGCUUUGUCACCCGCUCUGUAGGCCCGGCCGGCGCUUGCCGAUCAACCCAAAUUUUUAUCCAGGUUGACCUCGGAUCAGGUAGGGAUACCCGCUGUACUUAAGCAUAUCAAUAAGCGGAGGA